rnacentral:rRNA from 1 species
UACGAAGGGGGCUAGCGUUGUUCGGAAUCACUGGGCGUAAAGCGCACGUAGGCGGAUCUUUAAGUCAGGGGUGAAAUCCCGAGGCUCAACCUCGGAACUGCCUUUGAUACUGGGGAUCUCGAGUCCGGGAGAGGUGAGUGGAAUUGCGAGUGUAGAGGUGAAAUUCGUAGAUAUUCGCAAGAACACCAGUGGCGAAGGCGGCUCACUGGCCCGGUACUGACGCUGAGGAGCGAAAGCGUGGGGAGCAAACAGG